CAAAAUUAAGGCCACCUAAUCACACCAUUUACCUAUAAAUAGGCCAAAGGUUAAAGGUUAGGGGUUGAAAAUUUUUCUAAGGGAGAAUUCUUGCAUAAUAUUUUCUAAGCUUUAAGAUUUGAGAUAUAAACAAGUUUUGUAUUCUCUAAUCUCACAAGCUAUGCAUUUUUCAUCAAACUUCCCUUGGAUUUCAUGUUUGUUUUCCAUAAAUACUCAUCUAAAUCACUGUAAAUCGGAUUAAUCACCAAGCAUCAAGGACUUUGGGUGUUCUCAACAAUUUUCAUUCAAAUCUUGGUUUUUUCUUCAAGGCAAGGUAAAUCUGAGAGUCUGAUUUCAUUUUCUUCAUCCUUUUCUUUUCCUUGGUGAUUAAAAUCACCUUUUAGAAGCCUGGUUCUGAGGGAAGCCCAUGAUCAACCAAACAGAAGUCUAUCUGCACAGAAGUGGCGUGCCUUAUAGCUAAGUGGCGCACGCCACUUCCCUAUAGCCAAACACUCCGAUAUUUCCUUUUCUGUGUUCUGGUUUGGGUAAGCCCCGUAUGCCACAAGAGUUAUGGCACAUGCCAUAACGUAUAGUGCAUGUGGCUUCAUUUCGGGAACUCAGAUUUAAUUUUCAUGCAGCCCAACUCUAAUAUGUGGGCCUUUUUGAAUCUAACACUAAGCGUUAAUGCUUAUUAUAAUGCCAUAACGUAUAGUGCAUGUGGCUUCAUUUCGGGAACUCAGAUUUAAUUUUCAUGCAGCCCAACUCUAAUAUGUGGGCCUUUUUGAAUCUAACACUAAGGGUUAAUGCUUAUUAUAAUAUUCUCAAUUCAUUCUGACCUUAAUAAACAACAAUAAUCAAUAAAUAGAUUGCGAU
rnacentral:lncRNA from 1 species